rnacentral:misc_RNA from 1 species
GAUGAAGAACGUAGCGAAAUGCGAUACUUGGUGUGAAUUGCAGAAUCCCGUGAACCAUCGAGUCUUUGAACGCAAGUUGUGCCCGAAGCCAUUAGGCCGAGGGCACGCCUGCCUGGGCGUCACACGUCGUUGCCCCCCCAUCUACUCCUUCGGGAUUGCGGGGGGCGGAUGAUGGCCUCCCGUGCGCCACGCCGCGCGGUUGGCAUAAAUGCCAAGUCCUCGGCGACGCACGCCACGACAAUCGGUGGUUGCGAAACCUCGGUUGCCCGUCGUGUGCGGUCGUCGCGCAUCGAGGGCUCGAAAAAAUUGCCGGGUUCCGGCUCGGCUUUCAACGCGACCCCAGGUCAGGCGGGGUUACCCGCUGAAUUUAAGCAUAUCAAUAAGCGGAGGA